rnacentral:snoRNA from 1 species
AUCCUCCGGUUCAUAAGCGUGAUGAUUGGGUGUUCAUGCUCCAUGCAUGACAUGUGCCUCCUUUGAACCUUGUUAUGACCUCGGCACAUUACCCAUCUGAUG